CUGCUGCCUUCCGUAGGAGUUUGGGCCGUGUCUCAGUCCCAAUGUGGCCGGCCACCCUCUCAGGUCGGCUACUGAUCGUCGCCUUGGUGGGCCUUUACCCCGCCAACUAGCUAAUCAGACGCGGGCCCAUCCCAUACCACCGGAGUUUUUCGCGCGCGGCCAUGCGGCCUCGUGCGCUUAAGCGGUAUUAGCGGUCAUUUCUAACCGUUAUCCCCCGGUAUGGGGCAGGUUACCCACGCGUUACUCACCCGUCCGCCGCUAAGUCGCUCCCGCUU
rnacentral:rRNA from 1 species